rnacentral:rRNA from 1 species
AUGCUGGCAGGGACGGUGGCAGCGGUGACGGUCUUCGUGCCGUCGCUGGAGGGGGAGCGUGGCCAAGGCGGUCGUGUGGAUGUGAUGGACCUCGACCGGGAGGUCGUGGUCAUCGGGGACGACACCCCGCCGCGGACCGACGUGGUCGAGCGGACGGGGGCCGACGGAGGCGGCGGUGACGCCGUCUUCGAGGAGACGUCGCGGACGACGCCGGAUGGGGCGCCUCAGGCGUUGAUGAGCGAGGCACCGCUGGUGGUGGAGCCGCAGGCCACUCCGGCCACUGAACCGGUGAUGGUGCCAAAGAAGGUGCCGGCCGCCAGGGAGGCGGCCAGCGGAUAG